rnacentral:rRNA from 1 species
AGGGAAUAUUGCUCAAUGGGCGAAAGCCUGAAGCAGCAACGCCGCGUGGAGGAUGAAGGUCUUCGGAUUGUAAACUUCUUUUAAGGGGGAAGAGUAGAAGACGGUACCCCUUGAAUAAGCCACGGCUAACUACGUGCCAGCAGCCGCGGUAAUACGUAGGUGGCAAGCGUUGUCCGGAUUUACUGGGUGUAAAGGGCGUGUAGCCGGGAAGGCAAGUCAGAUGUGAAAUCUGGAGGCUCAACCUCCAAACUGCAUUUGAAACUGCUUUUCUUGAGUGUCGGAGAGGUAAUCGGAAUUCCUUGUGUAGCGGUGAAAUGCGUAGAUAUAAGGAAGAACACCAGUGGCGAAGGCGGAUUACUGGACGAUAACUGACGGUGAGGCGCGAAAGCUUGGGGAGCAAACA